AGGGCCAAAGCUCAGUGCUAGAGCAUCUGCUUGGGAUGCAGAAGGUUCAAGGUUCAAUCCCUAACAUCCCUA